GAGUAUUAAUCGGUUUUGAAAUCUGUAUUUUCAGGUGUACAUGGAAUUCAAUAGGAUUGUGGGCAAGAACCUUAAGCAAGAGUUCUAUGACAGCAUUGACCGGCACAGUCUUUGUCUAAUUGAGAUCUUUCAAUCCAAGAGAGGGAACAUCGGGCAGCUUUUGGCACAGCUGUCACAGCAGACUAAGGACUCUGAUGACUCAUUCCUCCACCUUGACAUUGCUUUGCUUUUCCCACCCCCCCACCUCAGUCCAGCCUAUCUGAUGAUUGUCAUUGAGGGAAAAGUUCUGAUGGACAACAUUUAAGACCUGCCAAAAGCUAUGUGCAUUCUGUUUGGUCUUACAUAUGCCCUCCAUCUAAACUAUCCCAAAUCAAUGAGAAACACAUUCCAGUUCAUCCAACAGGUACUUCUCUCACUGGGCCACAUGGGCAACUUAAACCCAAAUUACAAUCGCUGAAAAAACAGCUUACACUGUAAGUAACUGCUGUGCCAUGUUUAAUGUGAAGGCAUAGCUGCUUUGUUUUUCCAGUGCCUUUUCCCCACUACAAUCUUGUGUGUCUGUAUUCAUUGUAUUGUUAUUGUCCUUGAACCAGUGCUAAAAAAGAAAUGUUAAACUGGUUUGUUCCAUUUUGUAUUAUGCUGAUUUAAGUUUAUUGUGGGAUGGAAAUGUCCAAUCACUUCUGUUAUGUCACUUCAGACAUUUUUAGGACUGCAUGUCAGUCCUCAAUUGACAGGAUAUACUUAAAGACGAGCUCUGGUGUGAAAUUGACUUUGGGUGUAGUUAGUAAAACAUGAUAAAAAGUACUAACCUUUGUUGAAUAGCCAAGCUCCAUUCUCCCACAGCUUUCCGAGAGCCAGCUAUGUUGUGUUUUUUGUCUAAACAUGCUUUAGAAUGGGUGAAACAGGGUAUGUUUACCCCUGCAGAUAAAUUGCUUUUUACACCGUUAUCCAAGCUCAAAGUAGCUCCACACCUCAUUCGUAGAAACCAGAGAGCACUCAGAUUCAGUUCAUGUUACGGGUUGUAAACAGUGUUUGUUUUUUAAUAAACUUUUUGUGCACUUUUAAAUUUCUU
rnacentral:lncRNA from 1 species